UAGGAUAGAAUCCAAACCAGACUGCUGCUC
rnacentral:piRNA from 1 species